rnacentral:rRNA from 1 species
UACGAAGGGGGCUAGCGUUGCUCGGAAUUACUGGGCGUAAAGGGUGCGUAGGCGGUUCUUUAAGUCAGGUGUGAAAUCCUGGAGCUCAACUCCAGAACUGCCUUUGAUACUGAAGAUCUUGAGUUCGGGAGAGGUGAGUGGAACUGCGAGUGUAGAGGUGAAAUUCGUAGAUAUUCGCAAGAACACCAGUGGCGAAGGCGGCUCACUGGCCCGAUACUGACGCUGAGGCACGAAAGCGUGGGGAGCAAACAGG